rnacentral:rRNA from 1 species
CCUACGGGGGGCAGCAGUAGGGAAUUUUCGGCAAUGGGGGGAACCCUGACCGAGCAACGCCGCGUGAACGAAGAAGUUAUUCGGAAUGUAAAGUUCUUUUAACAGGGAAGAAAGAGAAAUUUGACGGUACCUGAAGAAUAAGCUCCGGCUAACUACGUGCCAGCAGCCGCGGUAAUCCGUAGGGAGCGAUCGGUAUCCGAAAUUAUUGGGCGAAAAGGGUGCGUAGAUGGCAUAGUAAGUCUUUUGGAAAAAUGCUGGGCUCAACCCAGUAGGGCAAAAGAUACUGCAAAGCUAGAGUAUGACAGAGGCAAGUGGAACUACAUGUGUAGCGGUAAAAUGCGUAAAUAUAUGGAAGAACACCAGUGGCGAAGGCGGCUUGCUGGGUCGAUACUGACAUUGAGGCACGAAAGCGUGGGGAGCAAACAGGAUUAGAUACCCCUGUAGUC